CUAUUAAUUUCCCGAGAAAAAGCAAAGAAAUUGAACCCAGGAAAAAAAUAUACAAAUAAACUUGUAACUCUGUGAGAAGAAAUAGUCUUGUUACUUCAAUUAACUGCGAUGGCUUCUUCUUCUUCUUCUUCUCAAGUGAAGUAUGAUGUUUUCCUCAGUUUCAGAGGUGAGGACACUCGAGACAAUUUUACCAGCCACCUCAAUGCAGCUUUGUGUCGGAGAAAGAUUGUUACUUUCAUCGAUGAUCAACUUGUAAGAGGAGAUGGGAUUUCACCAUCUCUUUUGAAUGCGAUUAGUGGAUCAAAGAUUUCAAUCAUCAUUUUCUCGAAAGGUUAUGCUUCUUCUACAUGGUGCCUCCAAGAACUUGUUGAGAUCCUCAAUUGCAAGAGAGUGUACGGUCAGAUUGUGAUUCCAGUGUUCUAUCAUGUAGAUCCAUCAGUCGUAAGGAAGCAAUCAGGGACUUAUGGAGAUGCAUUUGGCCAGCAUGAAGUAAAAUAUAUGGAGGAAAAAGAGAUGUUGCAGAGAUGGAGGAAUGCUUUGACGGAAGCAGCCAAUCUAUCUGGCUUUGAUUCAAAUUCCAUCAGGCCUGAAUCGAAACUUGUUGACGCAAUUACUGAAUGCAUUUUGGGGAGUUUGAAUGAUAAGUCUUAUAGCGAUAAUAAGAACUUGGUUGGAGUAGCAAUGAAGAUCGACGAAAUUAAAUCUUUAUUGUCUAAUCAGUCAAGUAAAGUAUGCAAGGUAGGACUUUGGGGUAUGGGUGGCAUAGGCAAGACGACUCUUGCUGAAGCAGUCUUCAAUGAAAUCUCAAGUCAAUUUGAAGCUUCGUAUUUUGCUCGAAAUGUUAGGGAAGAAGCAUCAAGUAUAACUCAACUCCGUCAUUUAAAAAAGGAAUUUCUACAUGCAAUAUUAGGGGAUAAACACCUUGAUAUAAAACACACAUUCACUAAAGAAAGGCUUGGACGUAAAAAAGUUCUUAUUGUUUUUGAUGAUGUGACAGAUUCGAAACAAAUAAAAGAAUUAAUUGAAGAUCCUGAAGACUUGGGUUCUGGAAGUCAAAUCAUUAUAACCGCAAGGUAUAAACAAGUGCUAAAAAUUUGUAGAUUGGAUGAUUCUACCAUAUAUGAGGUCGGAGGAUUAGGUAGUGACGAAUCUCUUAGACUUUUUACACGACAUGCCUUCAAACAAAACCAUCCAAUUGCUAAAGUUUACUUGAAGCUUUCAGAAAAAGUUAUAAGUUAUACAAGAGGUUUGCCUUUAGCUCUCGAAGUUUUAGGUAACCAUCUCCUUGGUAAAGAAAAACUUGAAUGGGAUAGUGCACUGGAAGAUUUACAAAAAUCUCCGGAUGAGGGUAUCCAAAAGGUGCUUAAGAUCAGUUAUGAUGGAUUAUCUGAUAAAGAGAAGAUUUUAUUUUUAGAUAUUGCAUGCUUCUUUAAAGGAUGGGAUAAAUAUCUAGUUGGUACAUUCAGUUCACAUUCUAGAAUAAGAGAUCUUGUUGAUAAAGCUCUUAUAUCUGUUUCAUUUACCACAAUAGGAAUGCAUGAUUUGAUUCAAGAGAUGGGUUGGGAAAUUGUCCGACAAGAGUCAAUCAAUAAACUUGGCCAGCGCAGUCGAUUGUGGCAUCAUGAUGAUGUAUAUCAUGUAUUGAAAAAAAAUCUGGGAACUGAUGAAAUAAGAGGCAUGCUCUUUAAUAUGGCUGAAAUGACGGAGAUAGACUUAAAGUCUCAUGCUUUCUCAAAGAUGACUAAUUUAAGAGUCCUGGUUGUAAAGCACAUAUCUUCGAGAGACGAUAAUAAGAUUCAUGGUUUUGACAGCAUUGAAUUUGAUUUCUCAGAGUUAGAAUGCCUCUGUUGGAAUUAUUACCCCUUCAAAUCGUUGCCUUCGGAAUUUGAUCCUGAUAACCUUGUUGUACUUAAGAUGCAAAACAAUAAUCUUAAACGACUAUGGACGGGCAGCAAGAAUCUUGCUAAUUUAAAAUACAUUGACCUAAGUUACUCAGAACAUCUACUUGAAGUCCCAGACCUUUCAAAGGCUCCACAUCUAGAGCGGUUGAUUCUAGAAGACUGUACAAGUUUGGUUAAGAUCACUCCUCCAUCUCGGAAUCUCAAUAAACUUGUUGAGUUGAAUCUAAGAAAUUGCAAAAGCCUUAUCUGUCUUCCAAUUCGCAUUCAAUCAGAGUCUUUAAGAGAUGUUAUUCUCUCUGGUUGCUCUAAUCUCAUCACUGCUCCAAGGAUAUCAUGUGAAAUGAAAAGAUUGUGUUUGGAUGGAACUGCAAUUAGAAACUUAUCGUCUUCCAUAGAAAGUUCUUCCAUUCUAGUUGAACUGAAUCUUAAGGACUGCUUAAGCCUUGAAAGUCUUCCAAGCACCGUUUGUAAUUUGACAUCUCUUCGACGGCUUGAUCUCUCUGGUUUGUCAAAUCUAAAGAUGGUUCCAGAGUUCCCACCUAAGAUCCUAGAGUUGUAUUUAGAUGAAACUGCAAUAAAAGAAUUGUCUUCAUCGAUUGGGAAAGUAUCAUCUCUGAUAAGAUUAAGUCUUAAAAAUUGUUCAAGCCUUGAAAGUCUUCCAAACACCAUUUGUAAGUUGAAUUCUCUGAAAUAUAUUUGUAUCUCGGGUUGUUCAAAACUUGAAAGAUUGCCUGAUGACUUAGGAAAGUUAGAGAGCUUGGAAGGAAUCGAAGCUAGUGGAAUUACUGUUAAAGUGCUGCCUUCAGUUAUGACUGCUCUAUCAGCUUUGCGAUUUUUAAGGAGAUUAGAGUUGAAUUACUGCAGCAUUACAGAGUUACCCAAUAAUAUUGACAAUCUGUCCUUACUCGUAGAUCUGGAAUUGGAAGGAAACAAUUUUGAGACCAUCCCAACAAACAUCAUGAACCUUUCGAAGUUACAAAGCCUUAACAUAAGGUUUUGUGAUAGGCUUCGAUCCUUACCAAAGCUUCCACGCAACAUAAAAGAACUUCUGGCAGAUGGUUGCAAAUUGCUGAAAGAAUUAUCAGUUUUGACAAAUCUAAUAACUCCAGGACCUGAUAGAAGGACACUGAACUUGUUCAAUUGCGUCAGUCUGGAUUGGGACGCAAUCAGAAACAUUUUAUUUGGUUCUAUAUUGAAUACGUUCUCAAGUAAAAUUUACCACUUCGCAUAUAAGGUAUCUCCCAAGCGAAAAUCUGAAUUUUGUUACCCUCAAUCAAUUGUGGUCAAUCUUGAAGCUGGAAUUUGUUAUCUUGGAAGUGACAUUCCGGAAUGGUUUAACAUUCAAAGUAGUGGAUCAGUUAUUCCCUUCCAACAAUUUGGAAUUUCUUACCCUGCUGGAAGUGACAUUCCAGAACGGUUAAACAUUCGAAGUAGUGGAUCAUUUCGUCUCAAGCGAGAAGUUGAAAUUUGUUACCCUGGAAGUGACAUUCCGGAAUGGUUUAACAUUCAAAGUAGCGGAUCAGAUAUUAAGUUACCACAAGGUUCAUUCAAUGAGAAGGUUCUGGGUCUUGCCUUUUGUUUCAUUGUUGAAGUCGAAGAUAAUUCUGAUCAGUGUAAUUUCUUUGGUGUUGGUAGUUUGUUGCGACGGACUGGCCCUUAUAGCGACCGUCAUGGCGGUGGUGAAGAGACUUAUCUUUUGACCAAGUGUGUUAAGUCAGACCAUGUAUUAGUGAUAUAUGACCGCAUUAUAUGGGAGAUAUUUCACACAGAAGAUUUUAAUUUCGCUUGUGAUAAGGAAGCCAGUUUCUUUUUCUAUCCCUUAUAUGGUUCUGGAUCUACAAAGAAAAAUUGGAUAAAAAAUAUAAAGAAGUGUGGGAUUCGUUUAUUGUUCACUGAUGAGUUGGAGGAAAUUAUGAAAGGAUCAGGACGUUCCAUCUAUGAUGAAGAACGUGGAUUUAAAUCUUCAAAUUUCUAUAAAGGCGAAUCCAGCUCAAGACGAUUGGGGCCUUCCAUAGUCAGCCAACCAGUGACGGACUGCAUGACUGAAAAAGGGGAAUUGGAGCUUCUGCCGAGGGAAGUGCUCAAGCACAGGAAUCAUGAACUCAAUCUUACAUAUAUUUCUGCAUUGAAUGGAGUUCAACAUAAGGAAGAAGAGGAAGAGUCUACUGAAAAGGAUUCUCAUUCGCAUGUGGAAGCCACACCUAUACCGAGCCCUGGAGACAAUGAUGGGGCAAAAGAUAAUGUAUGUUGCUGCAUAAUUUUAUGAUGAAGAUGGAUGAAAACUAAAGAAUUCAAAUCAUAUGAGAAGGGAAGCUGCUGAGACAAUAGAGAUGGAUACAAUGAAUGAUCUUCAAAAUAGACCUCCAGAGUUGAAGACUGUCAAGAUCCAAAGCACCAAACCAUGGCAAAAGGUUCAAAGAAUUAAGGAGUAACUCUUCAAGUUCUGAUGGUAUAAUGACAUCAGUGUGAAGUUUCACAAACCAGAUAAUGGUAUAAUAAUACCUUUAGAAAUUCUGAUGCCCAGACUACGCAAUUUGCAAAGCUAAUCUGAAUAAACUUUUCAUUUGGAAUCAAAAUCAUCAUGUUUCUGAAGAA